UACGAAUUGGUGUAGUGGUCAACAUCUGACGGUCUCGUCCUAGAUGAUCCGUCAAGCCCGGGGUUCGAUUCCUCGAUUCGUAG